GAUAUGGUUUAGUGGGGGACUUGUUAGUGUUAGGUCAGAGGUUGGAGGGGGUGGUCUUGGAGGUCUCUUCCCACCUAGACGGUUCUGUGAUUCCACAGGUUCUCCCAGCCCCCCAGGAGCGAGGCCACCAUCACCGCAGGGCAGAAGCACAACUGCACCCGGCAGCCCCCUCCCUUAGUCCCAGGGCCUUUUCUUCCCUUUGCUUCUUUUCUCCCCUUACUUCUCUGCGUCUUUCAGACACUAACAUCUCCCCUUCUGCGGUGUAUUCUCCCCGCUGCUCCGUGCUGCCGGGGGGAGCAGCUCUCUAGACUGAGGAUCAUCGAGCAGACGCCCAUCCCCGCAGCGUGCCAGUGCUCAGGACGGGACGCGUCCAGCUCCCCUUCUGCCCAGCCAGCGGGCACCGGCGCCUGGAGCUGAGCAGAAGGCGCCUGGUGACCCGCCAGACACGGCUCUGCCAUCUGUGCCAAGGUCACAGGAGCACACAGGCUGCCGGGCUGGAUCCGACCCUCGCCCCCAUCAUCUGGUGCCCUGCCUGCAGGAGCACGGGGCUCGGCCGCGCUGCAGCCGGGAGCAGGGAGUCCUGCAGGCAGCAAUUACGCGGGAAUGUCUUCUGACAGGAGCUGAGCGCCAGACGAGGCUGUCUGGGGAGAUCACGGCGUCUCCGUCAACGGAGAGGUCAGAAUCAAUCGGACAGACAUCUGUCAGGAAUAAUUCAGACCCAGAUGGUGCACCUUCUGCAUAACUCUGAUCGCUUUAAAAAAUUCUGGCCCCCCUCCCGCACGUAAAGCCGACUUCUCCUGCCACAGCCAUGCCAGACACGAAGAGCAGCAGGUUGCGUUCUCCUCUACAGCUACAAACGCGCUCAGAAACGGCAAGUUCCCCAUAACCUGACACCGUCUCCUUCACUGUUCCACUCAGAUCACAUUUUUACAGCUACUUAUGUUUUAAAUGCCCUCCUUUCGAUUCUCUAGUUUGUCUACCACCUCUUUUUUUUUUUUUUUUUUAGCUGCAGUGCCAGAACCUUGGCACAAUAUUCACUUGAGGCCUCCUGCAGCACUGGGAAGACAUAAAAAACGAGCGUGCUUCUCGCAUACAUUUGUGCUGCUAUAUCCCAAGAAGGUAUUUGCCUUUACAACAGUAACAUCAUAAAGAUAUUUUUACCUAAUUAGCCUGUUACGAGGCAAAGGUUCUACAUGCUACAGCACUGAUACAAAACCCCUCGGCACUAUUUCUGCAGAAAGAACAAGAGACACCUAAAAAUAAACCAGAAUAAAACUGAGCCUGAGACA
rnacentral:lncRNA from 1 species